GCAUCGAUGAAGAACGCAGCGAAAUGCGAUAAGUAAUGUGAAUUGCAGAAUUCAGUGAAUCAUCGAAUCUUUGAACGCACCUUGCGCUCCAUGGUAUUCCGUGGAGCAUGCCUGUUUGAGUGUCAUGAAUACUUCAACCCUCCUCUUUCUUAAUGAUUGAAGAGGUGUUUGGUUUCUGAGCGCUGCUGGCCUUUACGGUCUAGCUCGUUCGUAAUGCAUUAGCAUCCGCAAUCGAACUUCGGAUUGACUUGGCGUAAUAGACUAUUCGCUGAGGAAUUCUAGUCUUCGGAUUAGAGCCGGGUUGGGUUAAAGGAAGCUUCUAAUCAGAAUGUCUACAUUUUAAGAUUAGAUCUCAAAUCGGGUAGGACUACCCGCUGAACUUAAGCAUAUCAAUAAGCGGAGGA
rnacentral:rRNA from 1 species